rnacentral:rRNA from 1 species
CCUACGGGAGGCAGCAGUGGGGGAUAUUGCACAAUGGGGGAAACCCUGAUGCAGCGACGCCGCGUGAGCGAUGAAGUAUUUCGGUAUGUAAACCUCUUUUGCCGGGGAGCAAGGGCCGGGACGCGUCCCGGCCCGGAGAGUACCCGGAGAAAAAGCAUCGGCUAACUCCGUGCCAGCAGCCGCGGUAAUACGGAGGAUGCGAGCGUUAUCCGGAUUUAUUGGGUUUAAGGGGUGCGUAGGCGGGCUUUUAAGUCAGCGGUAAAAAUUCGGGGCUCAACCCCGUCCGGCCGUUGAAACUGGGGGCC